rnacentral:lncRNA from 1 species
CCAGGGAGCCAGCCGUGUGAGGGGGUUCCAGCGUGGAGCUGUGGCUGAGACUGGGGCAGGAAAGCAGGGACCAAAGGUGGGUCACGGUUGAUGAGUCCAUGACACGCCCCUUCCUCCGUUGAUAAACUGUGAAAUCCAUUUGUCCUUGGCCAGGAUGAACUCAGUGAGGCGAUGGCUGUCAUUUCUGGGCAGAGUGGCUGGAGGAGGGGGAGGGAGGCUCCUUUCUAAGGCCCGUAUUCUGGCCUGUCUCCCACUCCACAACCCUGGGAGUUUGCUUGUCUUUCUGCCUUUUUCUUUCCUGGGGAGCAAAUGGAAAUAAUUUCCUUUGAAACGUGACAUUUCCUAAUCCGGCGCCCGGCCUGGCUGACAGCAGGAUUAGUGUGCUCAGGCUGCCAGGCCUGGCUGGCCAUAUGCACACGCCUUUCUCCCCAGGGGCCGCAGUGGCCAGCGCCAGCCCCCUCGCUGGCUCUUCUCCCACCCAGUCUGGUCUCAGCUGCCUCCUCCCCUGCACAUCAGAAACUGGUGCCCUCGAAGCUUAUUCAAGCUCUGCCUGAUUGUGUGUGUGUGUGUGUGUGUGUGUGUGUGUUGAGGGUGCGGUACGGGGAGGUCCCCCAUCAGAAGCUGUUAGUCUUGUCACCUGAAAGGAAGGAGAGGCUUCCUGGAGAAGGGGGUUUGGGUCCAGGCUCUGCAUGACCCGCUCUGUGACCUCGGGCUGUUCAGUCCCCUCUCUGGGCUGUCUUUGAAAUGAGAGUCUGAUGGAGUAUUGCCUUUGAUUGUUUCUACCCAUUCCACUUCCAACAGUCUCUGUCCUCUAGUCUUUGUCAAAACUCUGUGGUUGACAAGGGCCAACAAAAUAAAAGCAGUAGUAAUUCCACGUGAGGCAUCACCAAGGGCAGGAGCUGGCUCUGCUCUCACCUCUCUGCUCCUGUCUCCUAAGCUGCCAGGGACUAUGGCUUUGCACAUGCAGUCUCUCCAUCAGGGUGCCUGGCCGCAGCCCCUCAACCUCUCUUCCCUCCGGGAGCCGUGCGCACUAGGAUGCAGGAUGUCAAACUUCAUGACGACCUGACGAGCGGACAGCCUUCCUCUGCUUCAAGAUGAAGAACUGGAGGAUCAGAGGCUAAGAGAUUUGCUCAAGUGAUUAAUUCAAGCAAAUUUGAAUCAUCUCAACUCCAAAUCCCUGCCCCCCCUCAGCUUGCCUGUCAUGUGUCACAUGUCACAUAUGAGCUAGUUUCCCUACCUUAUACCCCUUGCCAAGUUCGUGAAUGAGAGUUGGGCGACUUUGGCUGAGCGUGUAGUUUUUAUCUCGUAUACAGUAGGGGUUGAGGCACUAUCUCAGGCGGGGGUGUUUGGCCCCUCCACUCUAUAUUCUGGACCAGGUAUUGCGACCUCAGAUUGUGACACCUUUGGUUCAGCUCCAUCCCGAGAUGCACUCUCCCACCGCCAGUGCCUGCGGGUUCCAGUCUCCUCCAGACAUCGUUUCCAAGACUGGGUGUUAUCUAGUUUUCUAAUCCCUAGAGCACAGGCCGGGAGGCGGGGCCCACCAGCCGGAGUGAGGGGUGGUCCACUGGGAACGCCCAUCCCCUCUCCCGCUGCGGAUGUUUACCUGACCUGCUUCUUUUGAGCCCAGGGGGCCUUGUCCGGCUCUCCACUAGGGUCUCCUUCUCACUUUAUCAUCCUGCUUGUCCUUCCUUCGCUGUGUCUUCGGUGUCUCUUUCUUGGUGUCUCUCCCCCUCCCAUUCCUCUCUCCCCGGCUUGCCCUCCCCAUCGAUUUCCAGACCUCUGCAUUAGCAUUCACAACCUCCGGCACCAGCCACUUAGGCCAGAAAGACAGCUCCUUGGAAACACAAUUGAAAUAUUUUUAUAAAUGACCAGCGGAGUUUGAGUGACAUGCCCUUCUUAGGCUAAAUAAAAUUAAAGUUAAACCUUCUAAAAAAUACAUGAGCCAAACAUCCUCUGCACAUUUCAUUAUGCAAAUGCAGCUGUCCAGCGUUGCACAAAUUAGCCCUCCUUUUGAAAUUCGCUGCUGCCUCUUCCCUUCCCUUUGCUUUCCUCUCUUUUUCUUCCUCUGGGUUUUGAGUGAAAAGGCUUUGUGAUUUUAGGCCGACAGCUGGAGUCUGGGGGAGAGGCAGGAGGCUGGAGCGUGGGAUGGCCAGCCUACUCCUGGUUUCCUCUCUGUCCCCUUUGUCCCCUCUUUCCCCUUUUCUGGGGGCUAAGGUGGUGAGAAAACAAUGAGGGCUUGAUGACUCCUCAGCCUCUCUUUCAAACUGUUUUGCAGGGUCCGGCCAGGAGAGGUCAGUCUGGGGUUGGGAAUGGGGCUCCCCGAAGUCGGGGCGCUCAGCAGUCUCUUAGUCUGGGGGCUGUGGAAGCCUGCAGCUCAAGGGAGGGACUGACUGGUGGACGACAGACACUCUCCCUCACCAGGUCCAGGAACUCCUUCCCCAGGGCCUCGGCAUAAUAAAGUGUGUCUUUUCUCAUCUCCUGAAUCCUGGAUGAAAACUGGAAAAUCUGAGCAGUGUUCAAGAUGUGGCAUCUCCUCUGUGUCCAUUCCCGUCGUGGCGCAGUGGUUAACGGAUCUGACUAGGAACCAUGAGGUUGCGGGUUCGGUCCCUGCCCUUGCUCAAUGGGUUAACGAUCCUGCGUUGCCGUGAGCUGUGGUAUAGGUUGCAGACACGGCUUGGAUCCCGCGUUGCUGUGGCUCUGGCCUGGGCCAAUGGCUACAGCUCCGAUUGGACCCCUAGCCUGGGAACCUCCAUAUACCGCGGGAGCGGCCCAAGAAAU